AACCUGGCCAUCCCGGGUCUCAUGCUGCGCCGCCUGCGCAAAGGCAACCUGCCCAUCCGCUCCAUCAUUCCCAACCAUGCCGACAAGGAGCGCUUCGCCACGCGCUGCAAGGCGGCCACCGUGCUGCUUUACGACGAGGCCACGGCUGAGUGGCAGCCCGAGCCCGGCGCCCCCGCCUCGGUUCUCGGCCUGCUCCUGCAGAAGCUGCGAGACGACGGCUGCCAGGCCUACUACCUCCAAGGUGGUUUCAACAAGUUCCAGACGGAAUACUCAGAGCAUUGUGAGACUAAUGUGGACAGCUCGUCCUCCCCGAGUGGCUCGCCGCCCACCUCCGUGCUGGGCUUGGGGGGCCUGCGCAUCAGCUCUGACUGCUCAGAUGGAGAGUCAGACCGGGAGCUGCCCAGCAGUGCCACUGAGUCGGAUGGCAGCCCUGUGCCAUCCAGCCAGCCAGCCUUUCCGGUCCAGAUCCUGCCCUACCUCUACCUCGGCUGUGCCAAGGACUCUACCAACCUGGAUGUACUUGGCAAGUACGGCAUCAAAUAUAUCCUCAAUGUCACACCCAACC
rnacentral:lncRNA from 1 species